rnacentral:rRNA from 1 species
UUAAUACUGGAUAGAUCAAAGAUACUGGAAUGUUCUCUGGUCCAAAACUCCGGUGCCCAAGGAUGGGUCUGCGGCCUAUCAGGUUGUAGUGGGUGUAACGUACCUACUAGCCUACGACGGGUAAGGGUUGUGAGAGCAAGAUCCCUGAGAUGGAUUCUGAGACAUGAAUCCAGGCCCUACGGGGUGCAGCAGGCGCGAAAACUUUACACUGCGGGAAACCGCGAUAAGGGGACCCCGAGUGCCAGCACCUAGUGCUGGCUGUCCCGCUGUCCAAACAACAGUGGUUAGCAAGGGCCGGGCAGACCGGUGCCAGCCGCCGCGGUAACACCGGCGGCCCGAGUGGUAGCCGCUAUUAUUGGGUUUAAAGGGUCCGUAGCCGGCUUAUUAAGUCUCUUGGGAAAUCUGGCGGCUCAAUCGUCAGGCGUUCA